rnacentral:tRNA from 1 species
GCCUUCGUGGUGUAUCAGUUAGCACACUCGGCGGGUAUUCGAGAGGUCCAGGUUCGAGUCCCGAAGAGGGCA